AUAUAUAUAUACACGUGUAUAUUAUAUGUGUAUGUGUAUAUAUAUGUGUAUAUAUAUAUAUAUACGUGUAUAUAUAUAUAUAUGUAUAUGUGUAUAUAUAUGUAUAUGUGUGUAUAUAUAUAUAUACACGUGUAUAUUAUAUGUGUAUGUGUAUAUAUAUGUGUAUAUAUAUAUAUAUACGUGUGUAUAUAUAUAUAUAUAUAUAUAUAUAGACAUCUACACAUCUUAUAUAUAUGGACUUGUACAUGCAGUGGAGCGUUUGUGUGGAAAGAAUGUGGGAAAUUUCCAUUUCCAAUGGACAAGUUUCUUGAGAUUUCAACCUGUUUACACGGAUGGCGUCGGUCGUCAUGACGACGACAACAUUCCAACAGUUUCCUUGGACUUUUUGCGUCACAUUCCCGUGUGCUAGAGACAGCGCCCCCUGCUGGCUGAUUGGAGCUUUCUCCUUUGUGUCACGAAGGCCUGAAUGAGCUUUGCUUUUGCUUUUUCUAUUUAGCCGACAAAGAUUACAGGUUAAUCAUCUCUUCUUCAUCUUCUGUUUUUAUCUAUGACACGCGCAAGUUUUGUACCUGUCUUUUAUGGUCACAUGACUUAUGGAAACAAAACCAUUUCUUGUACUGCCAAUCAAAUAUAAAAAGUAAACCUUGUCAUUUUGUCUUUUCACGAGCAAUCUAAUGUGUUUCAAACACCUGUCAGGAGUCAUCGAUGACUGAUCGUUUCCUCGUAUCCCCUCCUGUCCAAUAAGCGAGGCGACGUCAGCAGUCACUCAACCUCGGCAGCUCCACCCACAUGUUUCUGGCCCCACCCCUCCCUCGAGCUCGAGCAUCCUUGCAAACGCACGUUUCGCCUGCAGGGGGCGAUCUAGGGCGCCCUUCCUUGAGCAGCGUGCGGCACAGUUGCAAGAAAAGGAUUCCAUUUUGAAUGUCGGGAGAGAGAGGCCGAGUGUUGAUUUGAGCCCUCGGCUUUCAAGGUAGCGUGCGGAGCCGGCAAAGGUCGCAGGCCGACGGAGGGCCGUGUUGGCGACCCGCAGGGAACGGACGGUGACCGUUGGGAUCGCACCCGCUGGCGGACUUGAACCAUUUUGAAUGACAUUGCCGGUAACUGCGGCAGCUGUUCGGGCGCCAGCAGCGGCUUCGCCCUGCGCCCGCACCUCCUCGGCUCUGACAGCAGAAGAUGAAGAAGAAGAAGAAGAAGAAGACGACAUUGAAGGAGCAGAAAGCGCAGAAGAAGAUUUAGAAGCAGACGAAGACAGUGCAGAAGAUGCAAGCAGGCGACCUCCUGGUGGUUCUUCUUGAGGAAGAUGAGCUCCUCCUUCAGGCCUUCAAUCUGCAUC